rnacentral:rRNA from 1 species
ACUCCUGCGGGAGGCAGCAGUGGGGAAUUUUGGACAAUGGGCGAAAGCCUGAUCCAGCAAUGCCGCGUGAGUGAAGAAGGCCUUCGGGUUGUAAAGCUCUUUUGUCAGGGAAGAAACGGUGAGAGCUAAUAUCUCUUGCUAAUGACGGUACCUGAAGAAUAAGCACCGGCUAACUACGUGCCAGCAGCCGCGGUAAUACGUAGGGUGCAAGCGUUAAUCGGAAUUACUGGGCGUAAAGCGUGCGCAGGCGGUUUUGUAAGUCUGAUGUGAAAUCCCCGGGCUCAACCUGGGAAUUGCAUUGGAGACUGCAAGGCUAGAAUCUGGCAGAGGGGGGUAGAAUUCCACGUGUAGCAGUGAAAUGCGUAGAUAUGUGGAGGAACACCGAUGGCGAAGGCAGCCCCCUGGGUCAAGAUUGACGCUCAUGCACGAAAGCGUGGGGAGCAAACAGGAUUAGAAACCCCUGUAGUCCCA